rnacentral:rRNA from 1 species
CAGCCGCCGCGGGAAUACGUAGGGUGCAAGCGUUAAUCGGAAUUACUGGGCGUAAAGCGUGCGCAGGCGGUUAUAUAAGACAGAUGUGAAAUCCCCGGGCUCAACCUGGGAACUGCAUUUGUGACUGUAUAGCUAGAGUACGGCAGAGGGGGAUGGAAUUCCGCGUGUAGCAGUGAAAUGCGUAGAUAUGCGGAGGAACACCGAUGGCGAAGGCAAUCCCCUGGGCCUGUACUGACGCUCAUGCACGAAAGCGUGGGGAGCAAACAGGAUUAGAUACCCGAGUAGUUCCUGUCUCUUAUAC